UUUUUUCUUUUGGGUAAGAGAAAAAGAUUGUCCUACAAUGUGAAAUGUGUAUCCAAAACUCUAGCUGUGUUUGAAAGAAUGUUCCUUCUGAAUAAAUAAUGUCUCAGGAAAUGAAAUAUAACAUAUAAACUAAACUGUUUGUCUUUGUGUUCUGCUUCUCACUGGGAAGCACCAAAGAGUUCAAGUACAAAGAGAAAAGUGGUUUAUUAAAGGGUGCUUGCAUUUGGAUUAUUUUGUUCUGAAAGCCUUGUCUUGUAGCAUUAUAUCCAGGAAAUGCUGCUCUCAAUAUAAGGAAGUGCUCAUUCCAUGGGCCUGAAUCUUUUUGGAUUUUUCUUGAAUGGGGUUUCUGCUUAGGUAUAACAAAAUAUUGGAUAAUGAAGAUAGAAAACCAAUAAAGAGUAAAAAGAAUAUACAAAAUUGCUUAGAAUGAAUUCUGCAUGUAAUUACUUGCAUUUUUGCUAACUACUGUAUAAACAACACUUUUAAUAAGGCAAAUUGGAAACGUGAAGACAAAUCAGCUUAGGGAUAGAGCUUCAAUUUAUUACACAAUGAUAACUGAAAACUUUGUUUCUGCUGCGUUGCAGUCAAUUUCUACUGAGCUCACACUCUGAAUGUGUGAUUAAUCAUAUGAGCACUGGGGUUGCCAAUAAAUACCAAAACCUUAAAACUAUAACAACUUGCUCAUUUUGUGCGGUCAUUCCAAAUAGCUAAACAACCAGAAAUUGUCAAUGUACACCAAGAUCAAUGCUCUGGGGUCUCUACAUAAGAUUGAUUUCCCUCUCUGAGGAUUUUAUCUCUCUCAUCAACAAAAACAUUUUGUCCUCCCUAAAUAAUCCAAUCGAAUGCCAUCCUCCUGUGGAACAGUGAGAGGUUUAAAUUGUUUGGAUUAAUCUCUGCUUUGAGGUGGCCUGGAAAGUCUCUGUAACUUCGUCAAAUAUAGCCUGGAGGGAGAACUGCUGUGGUUUGAUAUGUGCUAAAAAUAAACAAAUAAUGAGAGUGUCUAAAAAUCAUGUUGUGCUUUAAAAAUAAUAUGUGUGUGACAAAAUAUUUUUUAAAGCUCUUGCUACCAAUACAGAAAAUAAUAAUUGUUGUUGUAUUCCUUCUUGCUAAGGCCUACCACCUUCUCUCUGCUGGAGAUGGGGAAGGAGAUUGGGAGCUGUAGGAACAGAUUUAGGGGACAGAAGCCCACAGAGAUCUUCCCCAGAAGAUGAGUGGAGCAGAUCAGAGACAGGACGAAAGGAGCUGUCACCACCCACAGCCUUCUCCCUGCUCUGCACAGUGAAUGCACAGAUGAGGUGCUUUUGGAAGUGUUGGCCAGCAGCUCUCCAUGACUGACACUCCACAGCAGAACACAAGGGUCAAACUUUGCCUAAGCAGGUGACAGAGCAGGUGGAUUGCAUUUGGAGGCUGCAGACUGCACACCUGAGCCAGUCUCAUGGAUAUUUCAUCUGUUUUCCAAUUGACGAUCUGUCAAAGUUUGGAGCAGUGCAUGUACUGAAUGAAGGUUAUAAUAUUUUUACUAGAGAUUCAAGCCCUGGUGCAGAAAGGAGACAGAGACUUCUCCCUGGAAAUGAAUGGCAUGGAGUCUCCAUGAAGAGCACAUGGGGAGAAGAUGCUUCACAGGAGCUCUGGAUCUCCCUGGCACAUGGAGUCACCUGGAGGAGUCUGAGGGCACCCAGGAAAGCACUGAGUUUCAGAUUGCCACAGGACAAAAUCUUGUGAUUCUUAGCUCAGCAAUGAAGUUUUAAUCACCCCAAUAUACAUCUUUCCACGACAUAUAUUUUUCUGUCCACCAAAGACAUAAUGGCUGCUCCUUUUAUGGGAAACCAGGAUUUAAUCCAGCAAAUAAAAUGACAGAAACUGAGACCAUCCAAUGUCCUGCUCUGGUUUUCUGCCUGAAAAUGUUUUUCUCCUCUUCUCUUGCAAAUUUUGGGGCUUCCUAAGUUGCUGAUGUGUGAAAGUGAGACAAGUCUCAACAUUCUUG